rnacentral:rRNA from 1 species
CCUACGGGUGGCAGCAGUAGGGAAUCUUUCACAAUGGGCGAAAGCCUGAUGGAGCAACGUCGCGUGCAGGAUGAAGGCCUUCGGGUUGUAAACUGCUUUUAUAAGCGAGAAAUAUGAUGGUAACUUAUGAAUAAGGAUCGGCUAACUACGUGCCAGCAGCCGCGGUCAUACGUAGGAUCCGAGCAUUAUCCGGAGUGUCUGGGGGUAAAGAGUUGCGUUUGUGGCGUAAUAGGUAGCUAGUGAAAUCUGGUGGCUCAACCAUUCAGACUAUUGGCGAUACUGUGAAGCUCGAGACCGUUAGAGGUAACUGGAAUGUGUAGUGUAGGGGUGAAAUGCGUAGAUAUUAGAAGGAACACCGAUAGCGUAGGCAGGUUGCUGGGACGGUACUGACACUAAGGCACGAAAGCGUAGGGAGCAAACGGGAUUAGAUACCCCAGUAGUC